CUAUCCUACGGGAGGCAGCAGUGGGGGAUAUUGGACAAUGGGGGGAACCCUGAUCCAGCGACGCCGCGUGAAGGAAGAAGUAUUUCGGUAUGUAAACUUCUCUCAGCAGGGAAGAAAAAGGACGGUACCUGACUAAGAAGCCCCGGCUAACUACGUGCCAGCAGCCGCGGUAAUACGUAGGGGGCGAGCGUUAUCCGGAUUUACUGGGUGUAAAGGGGGCGCAGACGGCCAUGGCAAGCCCGGUGUGAAAGGUGCGGGCACAACCCGCUGACUGCACUGGUAACUGCCUGGCU
rnacentral:rRNA from 1 species